GGAGACAUGUGGCGAGGGUAAUUAGCUGCUACACACGUUAGGAGCUAAUUUAACACUAGACUGGUGAAAUGUCUAUUCAUUUAUAAAGAUAGAUGCAUUUAAUGAAAAACUGUCAAGACAAUUAUACUGGAAUUCAUUAAAGUAAAGACAUUUCAACCUGGUAUAAAAUGAGCUGAGCUUGUAUGUGAUAUAUGCAACAAUCCUUGGAGCUUUCAAAACAUACUUACAUAACUACGCCACGCCAAAAGACAUAAAAUGUUGAACGUGGUCAGCCUUGUCGUCAUGAGUCUCGCUCUUGGAUCAGUCUUGUGCUUUACAAGGAAUCGCAGAGCAGCUGAAACCGAGGAAGACUUUGCCAGGCAUACUAUUUCCCCAAGUCAGGCUCAGAUUCCCUGGAACACAGAUUUAGAUAUUUUUUACUCUCACACUCCAAGUGUAGACGAGGCACUAAAGAAUGCUUUGAUCACGGAAACGAAUGCGGAUGGAAGUGUUCCUCUUGUUGGAGAUUUGCUAGAGAGUACUUCAAAUAGCCCUCUCAAUGUUUUCCAAAGUCUUGUCGGUGGUUUACCUUUCGUCAGUGGUGCUCCGAGUGAUGUGCUGGGCGAUGUUUAGGUUCCGUCUGAUUCCAAAGGUGCAGGGCAACGUCUUGCCAAAGGGCAUUUCAUGGCACAAAAUACAUGUAAAGGAUAAGAAAUGAAAGCACUUCAACACAGAUUCAAGAGGAAAAUGUUUAGGAUUCAACAAAUAUAUUUGUAGACCAUAAGUAAUAAACUAAUAUAUAAUAUCA